rnacentral:misc_RNA from 1 species
AAGUCGUAACAAGGUUUCCGUAGGUGAACCUGCGGAAGGAUCAUUAACACUAUAAACAAAUGCGAAAGCAUUUUCGGGAUUGAGUCUGCAAAGAUUCUUUUUCGAUUUUGCUUUUGCUAUCCAAACUCACCCAAACUUUAUUGAAAGUGCUGGUUUGAUUUUCGCAAGAAAAUCUAACUUUUUUCUUUCCAUUUUUUUUUAACAAAACCCCAAAUCUUUCUUUGCUAAUGCAAAUGACAAUUACAAAAACUUCAAAAACUACUUUAACGUAACCAAACAACUCUUAGCAACGGAUAUCUUGGCUCUC